UUUGUUAAUAUAUUAAGCGACAAAUUGCACCGUUCAAUAGGACGAGAUUUUUUAUAUAUUAAGGCAACAUGAUGAGAAAAAGAAAAAUUACAGGAAAUGUGCGAUUUACCGAAGGCAUAUUAUUGAAGGCCUUGAGGUCUUCGGUAUUGAGAUGAUUACCGAAGGCUUUUGAGUUGUCGGUAAGCUUCUCGGUGAUUUAACCCCUAAAUUGGGAUUUUCGUUCCCCAAAUUCAUUUUCUUCAGGCUUCGUCGAUUUCCCUCUCUUCACAGACUUCCCUCCCUUUCUUCACGCACUUCCCUCCUUUUCUUCACGCUCCCUCACUUUCUCAGUCAGUUACAGUGCUAGGGCUAGGGUUCGUGGUUCCUUCACGAUACGUGCGGUGGGGUGGUUGCACGUUGAUCCAGUUCGUCGUGGGGUGGUUGCACGUUGAGGGCUGGUGGUGUCGAUGGUGAGGGACUUUGUUGGAGGUGUCGUUGUGGGGUUCUGUUGAGGUAAGUUCCAUAGAAUUUCAUUCACAUUAUGUUCAUAUUUCUGAAGCCCGCAUACUGUUGUUGCCUUCAUCUACUUUUCAUAUGUGCAAAAUGAGUUACCUUUGUAGUUUUUCUAUUAGUCUCAUUACAUGUUUAAAUUAAUUUCUAUCAUGACAGAAAGUCCAUUUCC
rnacentral:lncRNA from 1 species